rnacentral:rRNA from 1 species
UACGUAGGGGGCAAGCGUUGUCCGGAAUCAUUGGGCGUAAAGCGCGUGUAGGCGGCUCGGCAAGUCUGCUGUGAAAGUCCAGGGCUCAACCCUGGGAUGCCGGUGGAUACUGUCGAGCUCGAGUCCGGAAGAGGCGAGUGGAAUUCCUGGUGUAGCGGUGAAAUGCGCAGAUAUCAGGAGGAACACCAAUGGCGAAGGCAGCUCGCUGGGACGUGACUGACGCUGAGACGCGAAAGCGUGGGGAGCAAACAGG